UACAGAGGGUGCAAGCGUUAAUCGGAAUUACUGGGCGUAAAGCGUGCGUAGACGGUUAUUUAAGUCAGGUGUGAAAGCCCCGGGCUCAACCUGGGAAUUGCAUUUGAGACUGAAUAGCUAGGGUGCGGAAGAGGGAAGCGGAAUUUCCGGUGUAGCGGUGAAAUGCGUAGAUAUCGGAAGGAACACCAGUGGCGAAGGCGGCUUCCUGGACCGACACUGACGCUGAGGCGGCGAAAGCUAGGGAGCAAACGGG
rnacentral:rRNA from 1 species